CAGCUUGCCCAGCUCCUGCGGAGUGCCCAGGCCGGUCUGGCCCAGGUACAGCGGCUGGCUGCUGUUGAGGCCCCGGAGGAAGUUUUCCAGCCGCUCGCCGCGAAUGUAGGUGUCGUCGUCCGCGCGGAUGAACCACUCGAAGGCCUGGAGGUGCCGCUCCGCCAUGUAUUUGAGCAUCAGGAAGGACUUCUUCUGCGGCGGGUACGAGUCAUCAACCCCGGGCAGGGCGACCAGGGGCAGCGGUAAGCUCAGGUCCGAGCCCUCACUGGAGAAGAACUCCACACGGCCCGGGAUGUGCUGGGCCCAGGUCCGCUGGGCAGCAAUCGCCCGGCUCCUCAGGUAUUUUGCUUAGACUUCACUGCUGGUGUCUUUGGCUCAGAAAUUGUUAUUUUUACUCUGAAAAGAAACAGUUUAUUUGAGCCUCAUUUAAAAACCUGAUUUAAUGAAUAUAAAACAUCGGUAUCAAUCCACUGCCAGGUCAUCAGAAACAGGCUACCAAGACUGUCCUUUCCAGCAUCAGAUCAGCAUUAUUUCCAGGAAUGUUUUUUUUUCGCUGGAGCCUGGUCAGGAUGUAUCUAU